GACGAACGCUGGCGGCGUGCUUAACACAUGCAAGUCGAACGGAAAGGCCCUGCUUUUGUGGGGUGCUCGAGUGGCGAACGGGUGAGUAACACGUGAGUAACCUGCCCUUGACUUUGGGAUAACUUCAGGAAACUGGGGCUAAUACCGGAUAGGAGCUCCUGCUGCAUGGUGGGGGUUGGAAAGUUUCGGCGGUUGGGGAUGGACUCGCGGCUUAUCAGCUUGUUGGUGGGGUAGUGGCUUACCAAGGCUUUGACGGGUAGCCGGCCUGAGAGGGUGACCGGCCACAUUGGGACUGAGAUACGGCCCAGACUCCUACGGGAGGCAGAAGUGGGGAAUAUUGCACAAUGGGAGGGAGCCUGAUGCAGCAACGCCGCGUGCGGGAUGACGGCCUUCGGGUUGUAAACCGCUUUCGCCUGUGACGAAGCGUGAGUGACGGUAAUGGGUAAAGAAGCACCGGCUAACUACGUG
rnacentral:rRNA from 1 species